rnacentral:rRNA from 1 species
GCAAGUCGAGCGCAUCCUUCGGGAUGAGCGGCGGACGGGUGAGUAACGCGUGGGAAUAUGCCCUUCUCUAAGGAAUAGCCUCUGGAAACGGAGAGUAAUACCUUAUACGCCCUUCGGGGGAAAGAUUUAUCGGAGAAGGAUUAGCCCGCGUUAGAUUAGGUAGUUGGUGGGGUAAUGGCCUACCAAGCCUACGAUCUAUAGCUGGUUUGAGAGGAUGAUCAGCCACACUGGGACUGAGACACGGCCCAGACUCCUACGGGAGGCAGCAGUAGGGAAUCUUAGACAAUGGGGGAAACCCUGAUCUAGCCAUGCCGCGUGUGUGAUGAAGGCCUUAGGGUCGUAAAGCACUUUCGCCAGAGAUGAUAAUGACAGUAUCUGGUAAAGAAACCCCGGCUAACUCCGUGCCAGCAGCCGCGGUAAUACGGAGGGGGUUAGCGUUGUUCGGAAUUACUGGGCGUAAAGCGCACGUAGGCGGAUUAGUAAGUUAGAGGUGAAAUCCCAGGGCUCAACCCUGGAACUGCCUUUAAUACUGCUAGUCUUGAGUUCGAGAGAGGUAAGUGGAAUUCCAAGUGUAGAGGUGA